AGACAGACAGAGGCAGGGCUCAGCAGGCGACACAAAAGAAGAGUGGGGGGCUGGAGAAACAAGACAGAAAGAAAGACAGGAGAUACGAGGUGAUGGAGGCACAUUGCUGCCCUCCUGCUCAAGGCCCGGCUGACAUCAGGGGGUUAAUGUUUAAAGUCUACGGAAUACACUGAAAGGAGAAGAAGCUGACCCAGCCACACCCACUAUACCCUGGCAUUUGCUCUAGCCAAGGAAAAUGACUCAGCCCCUUCCAGAACCAGCUCCGGCACUGAGGGAAGUAGAGACCCAGGAAGAACAAGGAACCGCUAAUUGCCUGAAGCAGACUAAUUGUCGAGCUUCCUUGAGGCCAGGGAGACUGGACCUUAUUUACCUCUGGAUUCCCAAAGCCCAGCACAAGCCCAGCCCCCAAGCUGUCUCCCUGCCUGGGCCAGUCGUGCCGGAAACUGUAGGAGUGAGUAAUGAGAAGGAUCCAUGUGAGUGCGUGGUCAAAAUAGAAGCUGCCGUGGCGAGGCGAGAGAGAUGAGGCGUCCGGGGAGAGCCUGCCUGCAUGCCUUCAGUGUGGUGGGCCUACAGGUUGUCAUGGAAUGAGCCGCUCACUGAUGUUUGUGGAGCCGCCUUGCACAUUCCAGGACCGGGGCACAGGGCCCCAUCGUGUGAGCCUGCUGGUGGGGGGCUGGGUUCAGCAGGGACGACUCCUCCGAAGGAGCAAGGGUGGAGCAGGACAUGAGCAAGGGCACAAGCAGCUCCAGCCGGACUCAGCAGAGAGAGGAGAAGGAGAAGAAGCCAUGUGAGGGCCAGCAAGCCGGUCUGAGCCCUGGUGACUUGAAAUUCUUCCCCCUGUCCUCCCCGUUCCCUCCCUUCCUCCCUCCCGGAUCCCCGCUCUCCUCGGAAGGAAAAGUGUAAUCUUACCAGGACCCAGCAGAAGAGAAAAUCCAGCCCAACAGCAUUUUAAGUAAAUGUCUUUAAGAGUUGUUAUAUCCUAAGAGUGCAAAAGAAAGGAAGAUUCCAUCUACUUCAAAACGCCUGACUUAAAGGAUAAAUAUGUAUACACGUGGUCAGAAGCGAAACAUGCAAAUGUAAGCUUGCAAUCCACCUUGUGUAAUCAUAGCCAGAUGAAUGAAGGGGUGUGUGCAUUGCCAGGGUGCAGAGAUCGGGCUAAAGAGCUGGCGAGACAAGCCCUUGUGGGCUGUUUUUCUUUUAAGCCCAUGACAGAGAACCUGGAAACAGGGUUCAGGGAGGCCCUCGGAGGCACCAAGAACCCAGUAACAUCCCAGGAGAAAUUUCCUACCCUCAGCAACCUCAGCCAACCGGCCUAUAACUGCCCCCUGGCAGGUAGGCAGCCCCAGUUAACUGGGAUCAUGGUUUUUCUUAGUGCGUGCGUGUCUUCGAACUCCAGGAGGAUUUGCGGGUCACAUGUAGACAAACUUAAGGGAAUCCAAACCUCAGUAUUUUCUUUUCUGUUACAUGCUCACUUGCAAUGCUAAGAUAAUUUGGCCCAUUAAAGUGAGAGUCUAAUCAUUCUAAUUUAAAAUAUAAUUGCGUAAUUAACUUCAAUACGUGAGUUUAAGCUGGAAUCUUUCUAAGCUUAGGCUCGGUGGUAGAAUAUUUAAGAGAAUUUUAGGUUCACCACCUACACUCAUUGAAUUCACUAGAUGUAAAAGAAUUAAGUACCCAGGGAGAUUUCCUUAAGACUUAAAAACAGGCAAAUGGAUUAGAAAGGAAAUCUGACUGAUGACUCUAAGAAUUUUUUGGAGCUAUCCCCUACACUCAGAAAAAUCCCCACAGCCCAGGGAGCCAGAACCGGAUGGAGAUUUCUAGCGUUGCUAGAACCCCGGGAGCACUCCUGACCCUCCACCCACCCUGCUCUUCCCCUCCAGCGAAAGCCACUAACCCAAAACAUUAAGUUUAUAAAUACAACAUGGAUUGCUUGAGGCCUGUGUAAUUACUCAAGGUUGUAAACAGGACUAAGUCAUUCAAAGACUUCUCGGAAGUGGUUGCUAAACCUGCUCCAAACAAGCAAAAAGAUUUGCAAGCAGACUUAACAAGCCUCACAGCGAA